UAAAUGGGUCAAAAUCAGGUCGGGUCAACCCGUAUAACCUGACCCGAAUUCUUGAACUAAAAAAUAUAUAUAUUGGUGUUUGCCACUUUGCGCAGCCCAAAAGAUUUCCCAGCCCAAAAAAUUUCCCCAGCCCAAUAACUAAAUUCCUAACACUAUCUUUCUCUCUCAGUCUCCUUAUUCCUAACCCUAAAAGAUUUCCCCAGCCCCUUUCUUUCUCAACUCUCACUCUCUCUCUCAGUCUCUCUCUCUCUCUCUCCUAACCCUAAUUUCUAACACCUCUCUCUCUCUCUCAUAGUGAAAUCUCUCAGUCUUUCACUCUCUCUCUCAGUCUUCUUCGAUGCUCUUCUUCAACAUUUGAUGUUCUUCGUCUCGCAAAGUCGCAAUAAGUCUCUCAAUUUCGUCUGGAAAAGUCGCAAUUUCGUUGCUCUUCUUCAAGAGGCAGAGGAGGAGAUUGACUCCACUCCUACAAAUGCUGUGAAAGUGUGAAACCUCAACAAUGUUUGUUUGAGUUGUGGACUUGUGGUUGUAUAAGUCUAAAACAUUAAGGAUACAUUAAUGUUGUUUUAUGUUAUAAAACUUUGCUAAAUUAGUUUGUAAUAUUGCCAAGUAUGAAUUUGGUUAGCUGCCUAA